UACGGGGGGGGCAAGCGUUGUUCGGAAUUACUGGGCGUAAAGGGCUCGUAGGCGGCCAACUAAGUCAGACGUGAAAUCCCUCGGCUUAACCGGGGAACUGCGUCUGAUACUGGAUGGCUUGAGAUUGGGAGAGGGAUGCGGAAUUCCAGGUGUAGCGGUGAGAUGCGUAGAUAUCUGGAGGAACACCGGUGGCGAAGGCGGCAUCCUGGACCAACACUGACGCUGAGGAGCGAAAGCCAGGGGAGCAAACGGG
rnacentral:rRNA from 1 species